UAGAUUGGAUAUGGUGAAGCCAUAGGUC
rnacentral:piRNA from 1 species